AUUAUGACGUCACAGUUGUUAUGUUCUGUCGGUAGUGAGACAGCUGACAUCUCCGGAGAAGUUCAAAGUUCAAGAUCCACCCAAGAGUGAAAGAGUGCAAAAUCAGGUCAAGAAUGACUCCAACUAUGUCUACAACCAUCGGAUCUACACUGAACAUGACAAAGGCCUCCCCACGUAUCCCUCACACUUCCAGGUGGCCAAGUACUCUGUUUAUGCUUUGCCUACGGAUGUGCCCAGCAGUUGGUGUGUGCUGGAGCUACAAAGUGCUAGAGGAGAGGAAGGCCAGGUGUUCCGGAUUGUGCGCUCCAUGAAACAGAGGACAUUGGUGCGAGACCAGCUGGUGUUCUGCUGCUGCUCUGAGGAUGCCCUGGAGGUGUACCAGCAGUUGCAGGACCAGCUCAAAGCCGCCCACUUCCAGCUGAAGAAGGGCCCGCCCCCCCAGUAUGAGUGCCUGGGCUCUCUCAGCCUGAAGCAGGUGAGUUCCCCCCCCCUCACUGG